ACGGGAGGCAGCAGUAGGGAAUAUUGCACAAUGGGGGAAACCCUGAUGCAGCGACGCCGCGUGAGUGAUUGAAGUAUUUCGGUAUGUAAAGCUCUAUCAGCAGGGAAGAUAAUGACGGUACCUGACUAAGAAGCCCCGGCUAACUACGUGCCAGCAGCCGCGGUAAUACGUAGGGGGCAAGCGUUAUCCGGAUUUACUGGGUGUAAAGGGAGUGUAGGUGGUCUGGUAAGUCAGAUGUGAAAGCCCGCGGCUCAACUGCGGGACUGCAUUUGAAACUAUCAGACUAGAGUGCAGGAGAGGAAAGUGGAAUUCCUAGUGUAGCGGUGAAAUGCGUAGAUAUUAGGAAGAACACCAGUGGCGAAGGCGGCUUUCUGGACUGUAACUGACACUGAGGCUCGAAAGCGUGGGGAGCAAACAGGAUUAGAUACCCUGGUA
rnacentral:rRNA from 1 species